AGUGCUGUAGCUCAGUGGUACAGCACCUGCUUUGCAUGCAGAUGGUCCCAGGUUGAAUCUCCAGGUAGGACUG